AAAAUCGGCGUAGUGCACUCGGAUAUCGGCCGAUGCCGAUACAUUAAAAAAUGAUAAAUAUCGGCCCGAUAUAACACUGACUAUAGCAUCUAACACUGACUGAGACACGGACUAAAUGCACAAGACUAGGCAAACGAAACAGGCAACAGGUGAGAACAAUCAAGGAAUCACACGAGGUAACGAGGUGGGCGUGGCACACAUCGGGAGCGGACGGAGCAGGGCGUGACAGUAUUUCUACAAAAUAUACAAAUUAAUUUCUUAGUGUAUUGUUUACGGAGGAAAUAGCCGGAAAUGGAGCAAUGUGGAGAUCAUAAUUUAAGUCAAGCAAAAAGACAGUGAUUGAGGCCCAUAUGAAUCUUCAUGUAAAAAGGGCAUUGCAUUUUAAAGACAUGGCUUCAGAUUUGCCUUUUGGACUGUUGAGGAAACUGACCUUCUUCAGGACAAGUUGCAGCCUGUAUACAGGGUAUCCAGUAUGUCUAAAAUAAGUUAUAGCACCACAAAACAUGAGGUGGUGCUCAGUGAGCGCACUUCAAACAACGAAAAGCCUGUGGACCUUAUAAUCAAGGAACAAGUGGCAAAAGAACUACUGAAUGCAUGAAGAAAUCAAAGUAUCUGAAAAGGUUUCUCAAACCAUCUUCUUACAUCGUUCCUGUGUAUUUCGAGGAUGAUGAACAGCAAAACCAUAUACCUCUCAUAUACCUUAAAGAUUCCUUGACAGGACCCCUACUGUUUUGCUGAUCUAGGAAAAAAUCUGGUUCAUUCUUGAUGUAUUGAUGCCAGAAGUAAGUGUUGAAUUAAUUUUGAAUGCACUUGAUUAAGUUGAGCUUAUUAUUUGGUAGAUAAAUCAUGAGUUUUAUUCCAGUGCACCAUCUAUGGCCUUUCUGCACUUCAUAAUACUGAUUUUAAGAAGGCAGAGGAAAUGUUCCUUGCAGACCCUCCGUUAGAUCAAAGCUACUCGUAUUUAAUCGAGUUUUAUUUUUAAUUAUUCUGUAAAAGUUAAGCAAUUUUUCUUCCUUUCAGUGAGAAAGAUGUCUUCAACGAAUUAGUUGAGAAGUACAUGAAAAGGAAAGGUGUUUGGUUGUAAGAAUUGUACUUACUAUGUUUACAUUUUUUUGUUUGUUUGAUCAGAAGACAUCUUUAAUUAGUGUGUUUUUUGUUUUUCUCUCUUCCUUUUUUAUGCUCCCCUCUCUUCCACUAUCUUUUUAUUGCUCUCUUAGUACUACAAUGUGUAUAAUUAUUUUUAUAUAGUAUUUAUACAUUUUGAUUUGUUAUAUAUCAUUGUCUUAAAUGUUUGUUUCAACUUCAAAUCUGUCAUCUGAAUUUUGCAUCAUAAUAACCUACAUAUUAGUACAUAUAACCUACAUUAUAGUAUUAAAAUAUUAACAGAUUAAUGAUAAAUAUAUGUAGUGUGUGUUCAUAAAGACGUUUAAAGGAAACAUUUUAUCAUAAUUGUUUAUAUUAAUAACCCCCCCCCCAUACAUUUGUAUUUAUUACCAAACACGUAAAUGUAAUAAAAUUUGCAAGAUUGCGGUCAUUUUGCUCUGAUUAAAAUUUUCUAAAAAUAAAUAUUUGGUGUUAUAAAACUCUUUACCAGAGUGCAUUCCACAAACAAUGUCUUAUGACAGACAUACAUUACUUGAGAUGCGAUUAUCCCCAUCAUGCAGCGACUUUUGGACUGAGUUAUGACAGAAAGUUGUGUACAAAUCAACUAAAAAACGUGUUUUUAUAAUGGGAAAAAAAAUUCAAUGUUAAGUGUA